rnacentral:lncRNA from 1 species
AUGUAGAUCUCCCCAGCGCCGCGGGCCUGUGCUGCAGGAUGUGUGCCCGACUAGCUGUGUUACCCGGGGCCUGCGGUUUGUCUGGGGCCUCAAUCCUGCCCCAUCAUCCUCCCCUUAGCGUAUCUGCUUGCUGCAAGCUGCUUUCUCCCACAGAGGAAAAAUCCAAAAGGACUAAUCUACAUAAAAGUAUGACUCCCGGCCUGGCGCAGUGGCUCAUGCCUGUAAUCCCAGCAGUUUGGGAGGCCGAGGCGGGUGGAUCACCUGAGGUCAGGAGUUUGAGACCAGCCUGGCCAACAUGGGGAAACUCCAUCUCUACUAAAGAUACAAAAAUUAGCCGGGCACGGUGGCGCACACCUGUAAUCCCAGCUACUCAGGAGGCUGAAGCAGAAGAAUCGCUUGAACCUGGGAGGUGGAGGUUGCAGUGAGCCGAGAUCGUGCCACUGCACUCCAGCCUGUGCAACAGAGCAAGACUCUGUCUCAAAAAAAAAAAAAAAAAAAAAAGUAUGACUCCCGGUUUUAUCCACCUCUCAGAGAAGACAGCAAAGAAUGAAUCCCCUGGUGAUGGAAUUCCAGACACCAAGUGUGACCACAGAGGGCUGGAGAGGUUUGGUUCAUGAAUAUAAGAAGCCACCUACUUCCUGGUCGGGUGACAGUCUGUCCUGCUUGAAUACAGUGCAUUAUAUUAGGUUGGUGCAAAAACUUAUUGCAGUUUUUGCCAUUGAAAGUAAUUACUUUCGUUUGAGAUGGAAUCUUGCUCUGUCACCCAGGCUGGAGUGCAGUGGUGUGACAUUGGCUCACUGCCACCUCCACCUUCCGCAUUCAAGCAAUUCUCCUGUCUCAGCCUCCAGCGUAGCUGGGACUACAGGUGCCCGCCACCACACCGAGCUAAUUUUUGUAUUUUUAG